UAAAUCUCGUGCCAGCCACCGCGGUUAUACGAGAGGCCCAAGUUGAUAGGUACCGGCGUAAAGAGUGGUUAAGGAAAAUAUAAAACUAAAGCCGAAUGCCUUCAGAACUGUCAUACGUUUCCGAAGAUAAGAAGCCCCACCACGAAAGUGGCUUUAUUCCCCCCGACCCCACGAAAGCUGUGAAACAAACUAGGAUUAGAUACCCCAC
rnacentral:rRNA from 1 species